rnacentral:misc_RNA from 1 species
GUAUUUGAUUAUUAUAGGCACGUAGGCCCAUUGAUCACAUUCUACAACAUACUAUGUGGUAUAUGAAUACAUAGUACUCGAGGGAGAGGUUUUGCAAGUCAUUUGAGAAGAGCUGUAUGCUUUCGCACUCAGCAUUCCUCACGUCCGAAAAGGCCAUAUAGCCAUCCGAUAGUCGACUGCUCUCAACCCCCAAGACUACAAAAGGUGCACAGGUGGACGAAUAAAGUCAAGACAAGUGUGCACAUGCCCCGGAGAGCCAGCUACAACCCAUCAAGAAUAUUCAAUAAUGAUCCUUCCGCAGGUUCACCUACGGAAA